rnacentral:rRNA from 1 species
GANCGGGCGUAGCAAUACGUUCAGCGGCAGUACGGGUGAGUAACGCGUGGGAACAUACCUUUUGGUUCGGAACAACACAGGGAAAACGUGUGUGCUAAUACCGGANUAAGCCCUUACGGGGAAAGAUUUAUCGCCGAAAGAUUGGCCCGCGUCUGAUUAGCUAGUUGGUNGGGUAAUGGCCUACCAAGGCGACGAUCAGUAGCUGGNCUGAGAGGAUGAUCANCCACAUUGGGACUGAGACACGGCCCAAACUCCUACGGGAGGCAGCAGNGGGGAAUAUNGGACAAUGGGGGCAACCCUGAUCCANCCAUGCCGNGUGAGUGAUGAAGGCCCUAGGGUUGUAAAGCUCUUUUGUGCGGGAAGAUAAUGACGGUACCGCAAGAAUAAGCCCCGGCUAACUUCNUGCCANCANCCGCGGUAAUACNAAGGGGGCUAGCGUUGCUCGGAAUCACUGGGCGUAAAGGGUGCGUAGGCGGGUUUUUAAGUCAGGGGUGAAAUCCUGGAGCUCAACUCCAGAACUGCCUUUGAUACUGAAGAUCUUGAGUCCNGGAGAGGUGAGUGGAACUGCGAGUGUAGAGGUGAAAUUCGUAGAUAUUCGCAAGAACACCAGUGGCGAAAGCGGCUCACUGGCCCGGUACUGACGCUGAGGCACGAAAGCGUGGGGAGCAAACAGGAUUAGAUACCCUGGUAGNCCACGCCGUAAACGAUGAAUGCCAGNCGUUAGUGGGUUUACUCACUAGUGGCGCAGCUAACGCUUUAAGCAUUCCGCCUGGGGAGUACGGCCUCNAGAUUAAAACUCNAGGAAUUGACGGGGGCCCGCNCAACCGGGGGNNAUGUGGNUUAUUUCAAC